rnacentral:tRNA from 1 species
GGGGGUAUAGCUCAGUGGUAGAGCAUUUGACUGCCGAUCAAGAGGGCUCCAGUUCAAACUGGGUGGCCCUU